rnacentral:rRNA from 1 species
AUUGAACGCUGGCGGCAGGCCUAACACAUGCAAGUCGAACGAGUGGCGGACGGGUGAGUAAUGUCUGGGAAACUGCCUGAUGGAGGGGGAUAAAUACUGGAAACGGUAGCUAAUACCGCAUACCAUCGGAUGUGCCCAGAUGGGAUUAGCUAGUAGGUGGGGUAAAGGCUCACCAGGGCGACGAUCCUUAGCUGGUCUGAGAGGAUGACCAGCAACACUGGAAUGGAGACACGGUCCAGACUCCGACGGGAGGCAGAAGGGGGGAAUAUUGCACAAUGGGCGAAAGCCUGAUGCAGCAAUGCCGCGUGUAUGAAGAAGGCCUUCGGGUUGUAAAGUACUUUCAGCGGGGAGGCGUUACCCGCAGAAGAAGCACCGGCUAACUCCGUGCCAGCAGCCGCGGUAAUAC